rnacentral:misc_RNA from 1 species
GGAAUGGAUACUGCAUCUUCUGGGUAACUUUCAUUUUCCUCUGGAGUUAUAGACAGAGGAGAGGCUUCAUUAAUCUCCUCAUUGAUUGAAAGAUAAUCAUGACUUGUAAUACGGUUCCCUUUUGUUGCAUCCUCUGAUGGUAUAAUUUGACGCAAAAGAGGGCUGCACUUUUCAAUGGAGAUGGAGGAUUCAUUUGGAUGAGCAAAAGUUUCUAAGUUCCCUUGGUGAUUCAUCUGGAAACUACAUGCAUCUUUCUGCACUUCACUAGACAUUGCAGUGAUUGAAGAUAACUUGCCAUCACAUGUUGCAGCA